rnacentral:lncRNA from 1 species
CUGUACAGGGGAGGGGGGAGGGGGCCAGGCAGCCGUUAGACAGCACAACCGAACCCAACACCGGGGCCCAACGGCAGGGGCUUGGGCAGGAGCAAGGUCCGAGGGCUGCCAGGUCCACGCUGCUUUUAUGAGCUGUAACACUCACCGCGAAGAUCUGCAGCUUCACUCCUGAGCCCAGCGAGACCACGAGCCCACCGGGAGGAACAAACAACUCCAGACGCGCUGCCUUAAGAGCUGUAACACUUGCCGUGAAGGUCUGCAGCUUCACUCCUGAGCCAGCGAGACCACGAACCCACCAGAAGGAAGAAACUCCGAACACAUCUCAACAUCAGAACGGACAGACUCCAGACGCACCACCUUAAGAGCUGUAACACUCACCGCGAGGUUCCGCGGCUUCAUUCUUGAACAAUGAAUCCUCCAAUGUACCUGACUCUCCCUUUGCGAAGAGCAUCUCCGUGGCAGAAAUCUGAAAAUGCCCCUGGGGAGACACAUGCACAAGACAAGCUAUCAGCUUCCCAGUUUGCACAAUUCAUCAAGAAAUUAUGCGGGGUCACUGGCACAAAUGAUGAGGCAUCUCCUGGAAGCUUAACUUCUUAUCCAUCCCAUCUCUUGGACAGAUGAUGCCAGUUAAUUACUUUGAAUGCUCUGCUGCUAUGGUGAGCUGCACGUCUGGAGGCUUCACAGAGACACUGGGUGAAUCUAAAUGAUGAGUUUGAUGGUGACCUGGAGGUGAAACUGUGACUUCAUGAUGUUCUAGAGGCUGACCUGGGGUCUCCUGCUGGGUCAGAGAAGAUUCGACCUCCCCAGAAGACUCAGAAGGCUGAACUGGCUGCUGCUGCUCACUGAUGGAAAGUUCAUGCUCCAUAGGAGGAACUGGAGGCUCAAUUGGGGCCUCCUGUUGGGUUGCAGAAGGUUCCACCUCCUCUGGAAACUGAAUUGGGGUCUCCUGCUGGGUUUGGGAAGAUUCUGUCUCAUUGGUAGGCUCUGAAGUUAUGGUAACCUCCACAUCUGCAGGUUUAACUGUAAUGUUGGGCAAGUGAUAAUAAGCUUGAUCCUCACCUGGAGGUUGAACUGACACCUCAUGAUUCGGUAGAGUUAGACUCUCCAUAGAGGACUCUGGAGGCAGAGCUGGGGCCUCCUGCUGCAUUGAAGAAGGUUCUUCCUCAAGGAGCUGUGGAAGCUGUGCUGGGGCUUCUUGUUGGAGUGAAGAGGACUGGAUGUCUUCAAGGGUCUCUGGAUUUUGAGUUUCGGGCUCUAGAUGGAAUUGAGAAGGUCCAACUUGCUCAGAGGGCCCUGGAGGCUCAUCUGACUUCACCCGGAGUUCUGGAGGCAGGCUACCGGGAUACGGUGUAUCUGUACUGGAAUAUUCAUUCUGCAAAUUCUGUUUCUGACUA